AGGAUGAACGCUGGCGGCGUGCCUAAGACAUGCAAGUCGAGUGGGUUUAGACCCACGGCGAACGGGUGAGUAAUACCUAGGAACUUUCUUUAAGUGGAGCAUAACCAGCCGAAAGGUUGGAUAAUUCUUCAUGUGGCAGUAAUGCUAAAGUCGCAAGACGCUUAAAGUGAGGCCUGGGCACCAUCAGCUAGUUGGUAAGGUAAUGGCUUACCAAGGCUAUGACGGUUAGGGGUCCCGAGAGGGAUAACCCCCACACUGGAACUGCGACACGGUCCAGACUCCUACGGGAGGCAGCAGUUUGGAAUUUUGGACAAUGGGCGAAAGCCUGAUCCAGCGACGCCGCGUGGACGAUGAAGGCCUUCGGGUCGUAAAGUCCUUUUGCUCGGGAACAAUAUUUUGAGCGUACCGAGAGAAUAAGAGGUUGCUAACUCUGUGCCCAGCAGCCGC
rnacentral:rRNA from 1 species